rnacentral:lncRNA from 1 species
GACAUACAUACCAAGUAUCCUCACCUCUUCUUCUCCAACUCAGAUAAAGCUCAAGGUAACAGUUCUCCUUAAGCUUACUCAGUUUCAUAUUCAGUGUUCAUCACAAAAUUGGUAUGCAGUUUCAUGCUCAUGUUCCCAUUAUAAAAUUGGUAUCAAGUACCAUUACAUAUUCAGUCAUGCACUCAUGUAUCAGUUCAGUUAUGUAAUUAUGCAUCAAACAUGCAUUCUCAUUGUGAGAAACUUAGUUCUUC